rnacentral:lncRNA from 1 species
CAUCAACCAUAAAUUCCAACCUGUCGCUUCCCCUUCCCAUAUAAGAUAACAUUAGUCCAAUUAUUCCAAACCCUACUCUCCUCUCCUCCAUUCAUUCCACUACACAAAUCCAUCCAAAAAGACCCACACAUUGCGCUCAUGGCGCCUCCUAAGCCAUAAAACCCAAACUCUUCUCAAACGCUCUUAUCUUUUAUAGCAACAUGUACACCUCGC